rnacentral:tRNA from 1 species
AUAGCUCAGUCGGUAGAGCAGCGGAUUGAAAAUCCGCGUGUCGGUGGUUCGAUUCCACCUCUGGCCACCA